UUUUAGCCCGGAUGGAAGUGUAAAUCCUUUUUUUGCGCUAGCAGAAAAAGAUUGCAACGGACAGCCGGAACGUCA
rnacentral:sRNA from 1 species